UACGAAGGGGGCUAGCGUUGCUCGGAAUUACUGGGCGUAAAGCGCACGUAGGCGGAUUGUUAAGUCGGGGGUGAAAUCCUGGAGCUCAACUCCAGAACUGCCUUCGAUACUGGCGAUCUCGAGUUCGGGAGAGGUGAGUGGAACUGCGAGUGUAGAGGUGAAAUUCGUAGAUAUUCGCAAGAACACCAGUGGCGAAGGCGGCUCACUGGCCCGAUACUGACGCUGAGGUGCCGAAAGCGUGGGGAGCAAACAGG
rnacentral:rRNA from 1 species